GCCCUUUGUGGUCGGUGUACAGGUGGUGCAUGGUUGUCGUCAGCUCGUGUCGUGAGAUGUUGGGUUAAGUCCCGCAACGAGCGCAACCCUCGUCCUAUGUUGCCAGCGGGUCAUGCCGGGGACUCAUGGGAGACUGCCGGGGUCAACUCGGAGGAAGGUGGGGAUGACGUCAAAUCAUCAUGCCCCUUAUGUCUUGGGCUUCACGCAUGCUACAAUGGCCGGUACAAAGGGCUGCGAUACCGCGAGGUGGAGCGAAUCCCAGAAAGCCGGUCUCAGUUCGGAUUGGGGUCUGCAACUCGACCCCAUGAAGUCGGAGUCGCUAGUAAUCGCAGAUCAGCAACGCUGCGGUGAAUACGUUCCCGGGCCUU
rnacentral:rRNA from 1 species